GAUGAACGCUGGCGGCGUGCCUAACACAUGCAAGUCGAGCGAUUUACUUCGGUAAAGAGCGGCGGACGGGUGAGUAACGCGUGGGUAACCUGCCCUGUACACACGGAUAACAUACCGAAAGGUAUGCUAAUACGAGAUAAUAUGCUUUUAUCGCAUGGUAGAAGUAUCAAAGCUUUUGCGGUACAGGAUGGACCCGCGUCUGAUUAGCUAGUUUGUGAGGUAACGGCUCACCAAGGCGACGAUCAGUAGCCGACCUGAGAGGGUGAUCGGCCACAUUGGAACUGAGACACGGUCCAAACUCCUACGGGAGGCAGCAGUGGGGAAUAUUGCACAAUGGGCGAAAGCCUGAUGCAGCAACGCCGCGUGAGCGAUGAAGGCCUUCGGGUCGUAAAGCUCUGUCCUCAAGGAAGAUAAUGACGGUACUUGAGGAGGAAGCCCCGGCUAACUACGUG
rnacentral:rRNA from 1 species